CCUACGGGUGGCUGCAGUAAGGAAUAUUGGUCAAUGGACGCAAGUCUGAACCAGCCAUGCCGCGUGGAGGAUGAAGGUCCUCUGGAUUGUAAACUUCUUUUAUUUGGGAAGAAACUCCCGAUUUCCAUCGGGAUUGACGGUACCAGAUGAAUAAGCACCGGCUAACUCCGUGCCAGCAGCGGCGGUAAUACGGAGGGUGCCAGCGUUAUCGGGAUUAACGGGGUUGUAGGGGGGCAGAGGUGGGAAGGGUGAAAUCUCCGGGCUUAACCCGGAAACUGCCAUUGAUACUAUUUGUCUUGAAUACUCUGGAGGUGAGCGGAAUAUGUCAUGUAGCGGUGAAAUGCUUAGAUAUGACAUAGAACACCCAUUGCGAAGGCAGCUCACUACGGAAAUAUUGACGCUGAGGCACGAAAGCGUGGGGAUCAAACAGGAUUAGAUACCCCUGUAGUC
rnacentral:rRNA from 1 species